rnacentral:lncRNA from 1 species
ACUGAAUCUUAAACGAUGGAGAUGAGGGAGAAAAGAGAUGGGCUGGUCGUGAGUGAAUGUUUUCCGGCAUGUGUUUGCGAUGGGGGUUCGUGGGUGUUCCAGUGGAAGGAUGCCGCUGGUUUGUUCUAGUUGUUGGACGACUGGUUCAGGUGUGAAGUGGGGCUGGAGGACCGAAGGUGAGCUGGGAGGUGAAGGAAGAUGACUGUCCGUUUGACGAUGAUGGGGAGGCAAUGGUCGACUGGAUGCGUCACUGGUCGACGACAUGACGAGCUGACUGGAGGUUCGACGAUGGUUGUGGCUUGGACGUGAGGAGGGAGAGGCGGCUGGUUCACGUGCAGGUCGACGGAGCUGAUGUCAGUGUGAGUUAAAAAGGGGUCGCCGCCAAAGACGACGGGAAAAGGGAACUGGUCGACGAGGCUGGGGUUGAAGAGGUGUUUCCCGGCAAGUUUUUGGGUUGAAGAUGGAGGUGGC